CCUGCUGCUCCUGGGGGGCUCCGGGUCCUCCCGGCCACAGGGGGGCGCUGAGGAGCGCAAGCCAGCAGGGGGUGCCCUGGAGGUGUCCCUGCAGCUGCCGCCGCUCCGCCCCUCCGACGGCGGCUCCUUCGUCUGCUCCGUCACCACCCCCCGCGGGCACGUGCAGCAGGUCCUGCGCCUGCGCGUCAUUGCCCCUCCCCGCGUGUCCGUGGUCCCGUCUCCCUUGGUCGUGUUCCCGGGGGUCCCCUCGGAGCUCCGCUGCGACGCCGUCGGCUUCUUCCCGCUGGA